GUGUUGUCGGAGAAGAUGUAGUUGUUGUGGGUGCUUCUGUAGUUGUUGUGGGUGAAGCUGUGGUUGAUGUGGGUGCAGCUCUGGUUGAUGUGGGGCUGGCUGUGGUGGUUGAAGAGGAAACUGUUGUAGAUGUUGUAGAUGCUGUAGUUGUUGUCGGAGAAGAUGUGGUUGUUGUGGGUGCAUCUGUGGUUGUUGUGGGUGCAUCUGUGGUUGUUGUGAAGAUGGCUGUGGUUGUCGGAGCUGCUGUAGGUGUUGUCGGAGAAGAUGUGGUUGUUGUGGGUGCUUCUGUGGUUGAUGUGUGUGGAGAUGUGGUUGUUGUUGGUGCAGCUGUGGGUGUUGUGGGAACAGCUGUGGUUGAUGUGGUGCUGGUUGUGGUGGAUGUAGAGGAGGCUGUUGUGGAUGUUGUAGAUGCUGUUGUUGUUGUCGGAUAAGAUGUGGUUGUUGUGUGUGCAUCUGUGGUUGUUGUAGGGAUGGCUGUGGUUGUCGGAGCUGCUGUAGGUGUUGUCGGAGAAGAUGUAGUUGUUGUGGGUGCUUCUGUAGUUGUUGUGGGUGAAGCUGUGGUUGAUGUGGGUGCAGCUCUGGUUGAUGUGGGGCUGGCUGUGGUGGUUGAAGAGGAAACUGUUGUAGAUGUUGUAGAUGCUGUAGUUGUUGUCGGAGAAGAUGUGGUUGUUGUGGGUGCAUCUGUGGUUGUUGUGGGUGCAUCUGUGGUUGUUGUGAAGAUGGCUGUGGUUGUCGGAGCUGCUGUAGGUGUUGUCGGAGAAGAUGUGGUUGUUGUGGGUGCUUCUGUGGUUGCUGUGUGCGGAGAUGUGGUUGUUGUUGGUGCAGCUGUGGGUGUUGUGGGAACAGCUGUGGUUGAUGUGGGGCUGGUUGUGGUGGAUGUAGAGGAGGCUGUUGUGGAUGUUGUAGAUGCUGUUGUUGUUGUCGGAUAAGAUGUGGUUGUUGUGUGUGUAUCUGUGGUUGUUGUGGGGAUGGCUGUGGUUGUCGGAGCUGCUGUAGGUGUUGUCGGAGAAGAUGUAGUUGUUGUGGGUGCUUCUGUAGUUGUUGUGGGUGAAGCUGUGGUUGAUGUGGGAACAGCUAUGGUUGAUGUGGGGAUGGCUGUGGAUGUCAGAGCUGCUGUAGUUGUUGCAGCAGAAGAUGUGGUUGUUGUGGGUGCAGCUGUGGUUGUUGUGGGGGAAGCUGUGGUUGUUGUGUGUGCAUCUGUGGUUGUUGUGAAGAUGGCUGUGGUUGUCGGAGCUGCUGUAGGUGUUGUCGGAGAAGAUGUGGUUGUUGUGGGUGCUUCUGUGGUUGAUGUGUGUGGAGAUGUGGUUGUUGUGGGUGCAGCUGUGGUUGUUGUGGGAACAGCUGUAGUUGAUGUGGGGCUGGUUGUGGUGGUUGUGGAGGAAGCCGUUGUGGUCAUUGGAGCUGCUGUAGUUGUUGUAGCAGAAGAUGUGGUUGUUGUGGGUGCAGCUGUGGUUGUUGUGGGGGAAGCUGUGGUUGUUGUGUGUGCAUCUGUGGUUGUUGUGAAGAUGGCUGUGGUUGUCGGAGCUGCUGUAGUUGUUGUAGCAGAAGAUGUGGUUGUUGUGGGUGCAGCUGUGGUUGUUGUGGGGGAAGCUGUGGUUGUUGUGUGUGCAUCUGUGGUUGUUGUGAAGAUGGCUGUGGUUGUCGGAGCUGCUGUAGGUUUUGUCGGAGAAGAUGUGGUUGUUGUGGGUGCUUCUGUGGUUGAUGUGUGUGCAAAUGUGGUUGUUGUGGGUGCAGCUGUGGUUGUUGUGGGAACAGCUGUGGUUGAUGUGGGGGAAGCUGUGGUUGUUGUGUGUGCAUCUGUGGUUGUUGUGAAGAUGGCUGUGGUUGUCGGAGAUGCUGUAGGUGUUGUCGGAGAAGAUGUGGUUGUUGUGGGUGCUUCUGUGGUUGAUGUGUGUGCAGAUGUGGUUGUUGUUGGUGCAGCUGUGGUUGUUGUGGGAACAGCUGUGGUUAAUGUGGGGCUGGUUGUGCUGGAUGUAGAGGAGGCUGUUGUGGAUGUUGUAGUUGUUGUCAGAGAAGAUGUGGUUGUUGUGUGUGCAUCUGUGGUUGUUGUGGGGAUAGCUGUGGUUGUCGGAACACCUGUAGGUGUUGUUGGAGAAGAUGUGGUUGUUGUGUGUGCUUCUGUGGUUGUUGUGGGGAUGGCUGUGGUUGUCGGAACACCUGUAGGUGUUGUUGGAGAAGAUGUGGUUGUUGUGUGUGCUUCUGUGGUUGAUGUGGAUGAAGCUGUAGUUGUCGGAGCUGCUGUAGGUGUUGUCGGAGAAGAUGUAGUUGUUGUGGGUGCUUCUGUGGUUGUUGUGGGUGAAGCUGUGGUUGAUGUGGGUGCAGCUCUGGUUGAUGUAGGGCUGACUGUGGUGGUUGAAGAGGAAGCUGUUGUGGAUGUUGUAGAUGCUGUAGUUGUUGUUGGAGAAGAUGUGGUUGUUGUGGGUGCAUCUGUGGUUGUUGUGGGUGCAUCUGUGGUUGUUGUGUGUCCGUCUGUGGUUGUGGGGAUGGCUGUGGUUGUCGGAGAUGCUGUAGGUGUUGUCGGAGAAGAUGUGGUUGUUGGGGCUGCUUCUGUGGUUGAUGUGUGUGCAGAUGUGGUUGUUGUGGGUGCAGCUGUGGUUGUUGUGGGAACAGCUUUGGUUGAUGUGGGGCUGGCUAUCGUGGUUGUAGAGGAAGCUGUUGUGGUCGUUGGAACUGCUGUAGUUGUUGUCGGAGAAGAUGUGGUUGUUGUGGGUGCAUCUGUGGUUGUUGUGGGUGCAUCUGUGGUUGUUGUGUGUCCGUCAAUGGUUGUGGGGAUGGCUGUGGUUGUCGGAGAUGCUGUAGGUGUUGUCGGAGAAGAUGUGGUUGUUGUGGGUGCAGCUGUGGUUGUUGUGGGAACAGCUGUGGUUGAUGUGGGGCUGGCUAUCGUGGUUGUAGGGGAAGCUGUUGUGGUCGUUGGAGCUGCUGUAGUUGUUAUCGGAGAAGAUGUGGUUGUUGUGUGUGCAUCUGUGGUUGUUGUGGGGAUGGCUGUGGUUGUCGGAUCUCCUGUAGGUGUUGUUGGAGAAGAUAUGGUUGUUGUGUGUGUUUCUGUGGUUGAUGUGGAUGAAGCUGUAGUUGUCGGAGCUGCUGUAGGUGUUGUCGGAGACGAUGUGGUUGUUGUGGGUGCUUCUGUGGUUGAUGUGUGUGCAAAUGUGGUUGUUGUGGGUGCAGCUGUGGUUGUUGGGGGAUCAGCUGUAGUUGAUGUGGGGCUGGUUGUGGUGGUUGUGGAGGAAGCCGUUGUGGUCAUUGGAGCUGCUGUAGUUGUUGUAGAAGAUGUGCUUGCUGUGUGUGCAUCUGUGGUUGUUGUGGGGAUGGCUAUGGUUGAUGUGGGGAUGGCUGUGGAUGUCAGAGCUGCUGUAGUUGUUGCAGCAGAAGAUGUGGUUGUUGUGGGUGGAGCUGUGGUUGUUGUGGGGGACGCUGUGGUUGUUGUGUGUGCAUCUGUGGUUGUUGUGGGUGAAGCUGUGGUUGAUGUGGGGCUGGCUGUGGUGGUUGAAGAGGAAGCUGUUGUAGAGGUUGUAGGUGCUGUAGUUGUUGUCGGAGAAGAUGUGGUUGUUGUGGGUGCAUCUGUGGUUGUUGUGGGGAUGGCUGUGGUUGUCGGAACUCCUGUUGGUGUUGUUGGAGAAGAUGUGGUUGUUGUGUGUGCUUCUGUGGUUGAUGUGGGUGAAGCUGUAGUUGUCGGAGCUGCUGUAGGUGUUGUCGGAGACGAUGUGGUUGUUGUGGGUGCUUCUGUGGUUGAUGUGUGUGCAAAUGUGGUUGUUGUGCGUGCAGCUGAGGUUGUUGUUGGAACAGCUGUAGUUGAUGUGGGGCUGGUUGUGGUGGUUGUGGAGGAAGCCGUUGUGGUCAUUGGAGCUGCUAUAGUUGUUGUAGAAGAUGUGCUUGCUGUGUGUGCAUCUGAGGUUGUUGUGUGGAUGGCUAUGGUUGAUGUGGGGAUGGCUGUGGAUGUCAGAGCUGCUGUAGUUGUAGCAGCAGAAGAUGUGGUUGUUGUGGGUGCAGCUGUUGUUGUUGUGGGGGAAGCUGUGGUUGUUGUGUGUGCAUCUGUGGUUGUUGUGGGUGAAGCUGUGGUUGAUGUGGGGCUGGCUGUGGUUGUUGUGUGUGCAUCUGUGGUUGUUGUGAAGAUGGCAGUGGUUGUCAGAGCUGCUGUAGGAGUUGUCGGAGAAGAUGUGGUUGUUGUGGGUGCUUCUGUCGUUGAUGUGUGUGGAGAUGUGGUUGUUGUUGGUGCAGUUCUGGUUGUUGUGGGAACAGCUGUGGUUGAUGUGGGGCUGGUUGUGGUGGAUGUAGAGGAGGCUGUUGUGGAUGUUGUAGAUGCUGUAGUUGUUGUCGGAGAAGAUGUGGUUGUUGUGUGUCCAUCUAUGGUUGUUGUGGGGAUGGCUGUGGUUGUCGGAACUCCUGUAGGUGUUGUUGGAGAAGAUGUGGUUGUUGUGUGUGCUUCUGUGGUUGAUGUGGAUGAAGCUGUAGUUGUCGGAGCUGCUGUAGGUGUUGUCGGAGACGAUAUGGUUGUUGUGGGUGCUUCUGUGGUUGAUGUGUGUGCAAAUGUGGUUGUUGUGGGUGCAGCUGUGGUUGUUGUGGGAACAGCUGUAGUUGAUGUGGGGCUGGUUGUGGUGGUUGUGGAGGAAGCCGUUGUGGUCAUUGGAGCGGCUGUAGUUGUUGUAGAAGAUGUGCUUGCUGUGUGUGCAUCUGUGGAUGUUGUGGGGAUGGCUAUGGUUGAUGUGGGGAUGGCUGUGGAUGUCAGAGCUGCUGUAGUUGUUGCAGCAGAAGAUGUGGUUGUUGUGGGUGCAGCUGUGGUUGUUGUGGGGGAAGCUGUGGUUGUUGUGUGUGCAUCUGUGGUUGUUGUGAAGAUGGCUGUGGUUGUCGGAGCUUCUGUAGGUUUUGUCGGAGAAGAUGUGGUUGUUGUGGGUGCUUCUGUGGUUGAUGUGUGUGCAAAUGUGGUUGUUGUGGGUGCAGCUGUGGUUGUUGUGGGAACAGCUGUGGUUGUUGUGGGGGAAGCUGUGGUUGUUGUAUGUGCAUCUGUGGUUGUUGUGAAGAUGGCUGUGGUUGUCAGAGCUGCUGUAGGUGUUGUCGGAGAAGAUGUGGUUGUUGUGGGUGCUUCUGUGGUUGAUGUGUGUGGAGAUGUGGUUGUUGUUGGUGCAGCUGUGGUUGUUGUGGGAACAGCUGUGGUUGAUGUGGGGCUGGUUGUGGUGGAUGUAGAGGAGGCUGUUGUGGAUGUUGUAGAUGCAGUAGUUGUUGUCGGAGAAGAUGUGGUUGUUGUGUGUGCAUCUGUGGUUGUUGUGGGGAUGGUUGUGGUUGUCGGAGCUGCUGUAGGUGUUGUCGGAGAAGAUGUAGUUGUGGGUGCUUCUGUGGUUGUUGUGGGUGAAGCUGUGGUUGAUGUGGGUGCAGCUCUGGUUGAUGUAGGGCUGGCUGUGGUGGUUGAAGAGGAAGCUGUUGUGGAUGUUGUAGACGCUGUAGUUGUUGUUGGAGAAGAUGUGGUUGUUGUGGGUGCAUCUGUGGUUGUUCUGGGUGCAUCUGUGGUUGUUGUGUGUCCGUCUGUGGUUGUGGGGAUGGCUGUGGUUGUCGGAGAUGCUGUAGGUGUUGUCGGAGAAGAUGUGGUUGUUGGGGCUGCUUCUGUGGUUGAUGUGUGUGCAGAUGUGGUUGUUGUGGGUGCAGCUGUGGUUGUUGUGGGAACAGCUGUGGUUGAUGUGGGGCUGGCUAUCGUGGUUGUAGAGGAAGCUGUUGUGGUCGUUGGAACUGCUGUAGUUGUUGUCGGAGAAGAUGUGGUUGUUGUGGGUGCAUCUGUGGUUGUUUUGGGUGCAUCUGUGGAUGUUGUGUGUCCGUCUAUGGUUGUGGGGAUGGCUGUGGUUGUCGGAGAUGCUGUAGGUGUUGUCGGAGAAGAUGUGGUUGUUGUGGGUGCAGCUGUGGUUGUUGUGGGAACAGCUGUGGUUGAUGUGGGGCUGGCUAUCGUGGUUGUAGAAGAAGCUGUUGUGGUCGUUGGAGCUGCUGUAGUUGUUAUCGGAGAAGAUGUGGUUGUUGUGUGUGCAUCUGUGGUUGUUGUGGGGAUGGCUGUGGUUGUCGGAACACCUGUAGGUGUUGUUGGAGAAAAUGUGGUUGUUGUGUGUGCUUCUGUGGUUGAUGUGGAUGAAGCUGUAGUUGUCGGAGCUGCUGUAGGUGUUGUCGGAGACGAUGUGGUUGUUGUGGGUGCUUCUGUGGUUGAUGUGUGUGCAAAUGUGGUUGUUGUGGGUGAAGCUGUGGUUGAUGUGGGGCUGGCUGUGGUUGUUGUGUGUGCAUCUGUGGUUGUUGUGAAGAUGGCUGUGGUUGUCAGAGCUGCUGUAGGAAUUGUCGGAGAAGAUGUGGUUGUUGUGGGUGCUUCUGUCGUUGAUGUGUGUGCAAAUGUGGUUGUUGUGGGUGCAGCUGUGGUUGUUGGGGGAACAGCUGUAGUUGAUGUGGGGCUGGUUGUGGUGGUUGUGGAGGAAGCCGUUGUGGUCAUUGGAGCUGCUGUAGUUGUUGUAGAAGAUGUGCUUGCUGUGUGUGCAUCUGUGGUUGUUGUGGGGAUGGCUAUGGUUGAUGUGGGGAUGGCUGUGGAUGUCAGAGCUGCUGUAGUUGUUGCAGCAGAAGAUGUGGUUGUUGUGGGUGGAGCUGUGGUUGUUGUGGGGGAAGCUGUGGUUGUUGUGUGUGCAUCUGUGGUUGUUGUGGGUGAAGCUGUGGUUGAUGUGGGGCUGGCUGUGGUUGUUGUGUGUGCAUCUGUGGUUGUUGUGAAGAUGGCUGUGGUUGUCAGAGCUGCUGUAGGAAUUGUCGGAGAAGAUGUGGUUGUUGUGGGUGCUUCUGUCGUUGACGUGUGUGGAGAUGUGGUUGUUGUUGGUGCAGUUGUGGUUGUUGUGGGAACAGCUGUGGUUGAUGUGGGGCUGGUUGUGGUGGAUGUAGAGGAGGCUGUUGUGGAUGUUGUAGAUGCUGUAGUUGUUGUCGGAGAAGAUGUGGUUGUUGUGUGUGCAUCUAUGGUUGUUGUGGGGAUGGCUGUGGUUGUCGGAACUCCUGUAGGUGUUGUUGGAGAAGAUGUGGUUGUUGUGUGUGCUUCUGUGGUUGAUGUGGAUGAAGCUGUAGUUGUCGGAGCUGCUGUAGGUGUUGUCGGAGACGAUAUGGUUGUUGUGGGAGCUUCUGUGGUUGAUGUGUGUGCAAAUGUGGUUGUUGUGGGUGCAGCUGUGGUUGUUGUGGGAACAGCUGUAGUUGAUGUGGGGCUGGUUGUGGUGGUUGUGGAGGAAGCCGUUGUGGUCAUUGGAGCGGCUGUAGUUGUAGAAGAUGUGCUUGCUGUGUGUGCAUCUGUGGAUGUUGUGGGGAUGGCUAUGGUUGAUGUGGGGAUGGCUGUGGAUGUCAGAGCUGCUGUAGUUGUUGCAGCAGAAGAUGUGGUUGUUGUGGGUGCAGCUGUGGUUGUUGUGGGGGAAGCUGUGGUUGUUGCGUGUGCAUCUGUGGUUGUUGUGAAGAUGGCUGUGGUUGUCGGAGCUUCUGUAGGUUUUUUCGCAGAAGAUGUGGUUGUUGUGGGUGUUUCUGUGGUUGAUGUGUGUGCAAAUGUGGUUGUUGUGGGUGCAGCUGUGGUUGUUGUGGGAACAGCUGUGGUUGAUGUGGGGGAAGCUGUGGUUGUUGUAUGUGCAUCUGUGGUUGUUGUGAAGAUGGCUGUGGUUGUCAGAGCUGCUGUAGGUGUUGUCGGAGAAGAUGUGGUUGUUGUGGGUGCUUCUGUGGUUGAUGUGUGUGGAGAUGUGGUUGUUGUUGGUGCAGCUGUGGUUGUUGUGGGAACAGCUGUGGUUGAUGUGGGGCUGGUUGUGGUGGAUGUAGAGGAGGCUGUUGUGGAUGUUGUAGAUGCUGUAGUUGUUGUCGGAGAAGAUGUGGUAGUUGUGUGUGCAUCUGUGGUUGUUGUGGGGAUGGUUGUGGUUGUCGGAGCUGCUGUAGGUGUUGUCGGAGAAGAUGUAGUUGAUGUGGGUGCUUCUGUGGUUGUUGUGGGUGAAGCUGUGGUUGAUGUGGGUGCAGGUCUGGUUGAUGUGGGGCUGGCUGUGGUGGUUGAAGAGGAAGCUGUUGUGGAUGUUGUAGAUGCUGUAGUUGUUGUCGGACAAGAUGUGGUUGUUGUGGGUGCAUCUGUGGUUGUUGUGGGUGCAUCUGUGGUUGUUGUGUGUCCGUCUGUGGUUGUUGUGGGGAUGGCUGUGGUUGUCGGAACUCCUGUAGGUGUUGUUGGAUAAGAUGUGGUUGUUGUGUGUGCUUCUGUGGUUGAUGUGGAUGAAGCUGUAGUUGUCGGAGCUGCUGUAGGUGUUGUCGGAGACGAUGUGGUUGUUGUGGGUGCUUCCGUGGUUGACGUGUGUGCAAAUGUGGUUGUUGUGGGUGCAGCUGUGGUUGUUGUGGGAACAGCUGUAGUUGAUGUGGGGCUGGUUGUGGUAGUUGUGGAGGAAGCCGUUGUGGUCAUUGGAG
rnacentral:lncRNA from 1 species